UACAGAGGCCUCAAGCGUUGUUCGGAUUCAUUGGGCGUAAAGGGUGCGUAGGCGGCGCGGUAAGUCGGGUGUGAAAUCUCGGGGCUUAACUCCGAAACUGCAUUCGAUACUACCGUGCUUGAGGACUGGAGAGGAGACUGGAAUUUACGGUGUAGCGGUGAAAUGCGUAGAUAUCGUAAGGAAGACCAGUGGCGAAGGCGGGUCUCUGGACAGUUCCUGACGCUGAGGCACGAAGGUCAGGGGAGCAAACGGG
rnacentral:rRNA from 1 species